rnacentral:lncRNA from 1 species
AUGAAUGGCGCGGGGCUGAAGAGCCGGCGCGGCGCCGGCGCAGCAACCGAGAGUUUGCGGCGCGGUCCGAGCGGGGCCGGCGCGGGGCGCGGCGGAGAGGGCCGCGGGCGCGGGUCUUCGGCGCAGCGCCUCCGCGGGCGGCCGAGAGCGGGCGGCGGCGGCGGGCCGGCCGCGCCAUGGCGGAGGGGAAGGGAGGUCACGCGUUACAUAACCCGGCAGCUGCCGCGCUUCGGGCGCCGCGGGCCGCCCAGGCCGCGAGACCAACGGCCGCGGGGCCGGGCCGGCGCGCCCGCCCUCGCCCGCCUCAGGCCGCCGCGCCGGGCGACGCGGGGCCGCUCCCACCCGCCCCACCCCCGCCGCCGGCCCGGGGUCGCUCACCUUCAGCCCUGCCCCAGACCACCAUGCCCGGGCGCGGCCGCCUCCUCCGGCCUCGCGGGCCCCGGCGCCGCCGCACGGUGCCCUCGCCGGGGGCGGGGAGGAGGGCCGGCGAAGGAGUCGCACCGCCGCGCCGCGGUCCACGCUCGCCCCACGCUCGCGGCGGCCGGCCUGCGCGCGCUCGGCGCCUGCUCCGCCCCUCCCCAGCGGGCGCGCGCGCCGCGGCUCCGCCCCGCCCCGCCCCUCCUCCGGCGGCCGGCGCCCUCCCAGGCCCCGCCCCGCCCGCGGCUGCUCGCGCUCCGCCCCGCGCGGCGCCCGCGCCCGCGUGGAGCCCUGCCCUGGGCGAUGGCGAACCGCAGGCGCCAAGCCCCUGUCGUCCCCGGCCGGCCCGCAGCGGGCCGCGCCUCCGUGGCACCUGACCAUCUGGCUCGCGGGGGCGGAGAGGAGCGCGGCGCGGGCCCGCCUUCCGCAUCGCGCCGCCAGCCCUGCUCCCCGAACCCGGCUCGCCUCCCGCUUGGUCGCGGAGCCGUCCCGGCCUCCUGGAGGCCCCGCCCGGCUCUGCGCUCCCCGGUCUGGGAGGGCACAAGUACAGGGACUGACCAUGCUGGAAACCCUGGAAGAUCCGUAAAACGCCGGGGUCCCCCGCCACUAGCCGUUGACUCACAGUGA